rnacentral:rRNA from 1 species
GUGCACCUACGGGGGGCAGCAGUGGGGAAUAUUGCACAAUGGGGGAAACCCUGAUGCAGCGACGCCGCGUGAAGGAAGAAGUAUUUCGGUAUGUAAACUUCUAUCAGCAGGGAAGAAAAUGACGGUACCUGACUAAGAAGCCCCGGCUAACUACGUGCCAGCAGCCGCGGUAAUACGUAGGGGGCAAGCGUUAUCCGGAUUUACUGGGUGUAAAGGGAGCGUAGGCGGUGCAGCAAGUCAGAAGCGAAAGCCCGGGGCUCAACUCCGGGACGGCUUUUGAAACUGUUGGACUAGAUUGCAGGAGG